ensembl:snoRNA Gm23182 U8 small nucleolar RNA
CUUUUAAAACCAGAAAGGGGUAUAAUCCUUUCCUACUUCUCCUUUUAAGGGGCAAGACAGAACAUGACAAUUGUAGUUUGCAUCAGUUGUAAUUAACAUCUUUGUAUAAUCAGAUAUGCAACACCCUGGUUGCUCCUGUCUGGU